rnacentral:rRNA from 1 species
CCGCAAGGGGAGCGGCAGACGGGUGAGUAACGCGUGGGAACGUACCCUUUUCUACGGAAUAACCCAGGGAAACUUGGACUAAUACCGUAUGUGCCCUUCGGGGGAAAGAUUUAUCGGAAAAGGAUCGGCCCGCGUUGGAUUAGCUAGUUGGUGGGGUAAAGGCCUACCAAGGCGACGAUCCAUAGCUGGUCUGAGAGGAUGAUCAGCCACAUUGGGACUGAGACACGGCCCAAACUCCUACGGGAGGCAGCAGUGGGGAAUAUUGGACAAUGGGCGCAAGCCUGAUCCAGCCAUGCCGCGUGAGUGAUGAAGGCCCUAGGGUUGUAAAGCUCUUUCACCGGUGAAGAUAAUGACGGUAACCGGAGAAGAAGCCCCGGCUAACUUCGUGCCAGCAGCCGCGGUAAUACGAAGGGGGCUAGCGUUGUUCGGAUUUACUGGGCGUAAAGCGCACGUAGGCGGAUCGAUCAGUCAGGGGUGAAAUCCCAGAGCUCAACUCUGGAACUGCCUUUGAUACUGUCGAUCUGGAGUAUGGAAGAGGUGAGUGGAAUUCCGAGUGUAGAGGUGAAAUUCGUAGAUAUUCGGAGGAACACCAGUGGCGAAGGCGGCUCACUGGUCCAUUACUGACGCUGAGGUGCGAAAGCGUGGGAGCCAACGGAUU